UUAUAUUUUAUUUAUUAAUUAAUUUUUUUUUUAUUAUAAAUUAUUAAAAAUAAUUAUUAUGUGUUUUGUUUAAGUAUUUUAUAAAGAAAAAAUAAUUUUAAUUAUAGUUAAAUAGUAUUGUGAAAGAAAAUUGAAAUAAUUUGAAAAAUUAAUAUUUAAAAAGAAAAUUUAAUUUGUUGUACCUUGUGUAUCAGGGUUUAUUAAAUAAAAAUUAUUUAAUAUAAUUUUCUCGAUUUUAAAAGAGUUAAUAUGUUAUAAAAGUUAAUGUGAUAAAAUUAUUUUAUAUAAUAUGUUGGAAAUGAAAUGUUAUUCGUUUUUAAAGGUAUCUAGUUCUUUAAGAAAUAAAUUUAAUUUAGAAAUUUUAUAUUAUUUAAUUAAGUAUAUUAAUUAAAUAAUUGUUUUAUUUUAAUAUUUUGUGGGAUAAGCUAUGAAAUAAAUUAUUAAAAAUUAUUAAAUAAUUUAAUAAAUAUAAGCUUAGAAAUAGUUAUUAUUAAUGAAAUUGUUAUAAUUUAUUUUAUUAAAUUGAUUAUUUAUUUAAUUUUAAUUAUGUAUUAAAGUAUUUAUUUUAAUUAUAAAAAUAAAAAAAUAAUGAUAAAAUUAGUAUAUUAUAUUGUAUAAAUAUAAUUAAUUGAUAAGUUUUUAUAAAGAACUCGGCAAAAAUAAUGUUCGCCUGUUUAACAAAAACAUGUCUUUUUGAAAUUUUUUAAAGGUCUAGCCUGCCCACUGAAUAAUUUAAAUGGCCGCAGUAUACUAACUGUGCAAAGGUAGCAUAAUCAUUAGUCUUUUAAUUGAAGGCUGGUAUGAAUGGUUGGACGAGAUAUUAACUGUUUCAUAAAAAAUUAUGAUAGAAUUUUAUUUUUUAGUUAAAAAGCUAAAAUAAAAUUAAAAGACGAGAAGACCCUAUAAAUCUUUAUAUAUAUAAAUUAUUAUAAUUUUAUAGAUUUUUUUUAUUAUAAUAGUUAAUUGUAUUUUAUUGGGGUGAUAUUAAAAUUUAAUAAACUUUUAAUUUUAAAAAUCAUUAAUUUAUGAAUAAUUGAUCCGUUAAUAACGAUUAAAAAAAUAAGUUACUUUAGGGAUAACAGCGUAAUUUUUUUGGAGAGUUCAUAUCGAUAAAAAAGAUUGCGACCUCGAUGUUGGAUUAAGAUAUAAUUUUAGGUGUAGCCGCUUAAAUUUUAAGUCUGUUCGACUUUUAAAUUCUUACAUGAUCUGAGUUCAAACCGGCGUAAGCCAGGUUGGUUUCUAUCUUUAAAAAAUUAAAAUAUUUCAGUACGAAAGGACCUAAUAUUUAAUAAAUAAUUAUUUUUAUAUUGAAUAUAAAUAAUUUAU
rnacentral:rRNA from 1 species